rnacentral:rRNA from 1 species
UAGAGUUUGAUCCUGGCUCGAGCGAACGCUGGCGGCAGGCCUAACGAUGCAAGUCGAGCGCCCAGCAAUGGGAGCGGCAGACGGGAGAGUAACACGUGGGAACGUACCCUUCAGUUCGGAACAACCCAGGGAAACUUGGGCUAAUACCGAAUACGUCCGCAAGGAGAAAGAUUUAUCGCUGAAGGAUCGGCCCGCGUCUGAUUAGCUAGUUGGUGAGGUAACGGUUCACCAGGGUGACGAUCAUUGGUUGGUCUGGCCGAUGAUCACCCUCACUGGGACUGAACACGGGCCCAGAUUCCUACGGGAGGCAGGGGGGGGGAAUAUGGAAAUUGGGCCCAGCCCUGUCCCACCUUGCCCCGGGGUUAAUAAAGGCCUUCGGUUUAAAAGUCCCUUCCACGGGAAAAAAAUGCCGUUCCCCGAAAAAAACCCCGGUUUAUUUGGGCCAGCGGCCGGGGAAUUCAAGGGGGGUUGCUUCCCCGAAUUCUGGGGGAAACGCCCCUUGGCGACCCUUAAGUCGGGGGGGAAAUCGGGAUCUCACUCCGAUCUGCUUCAACCUGAGACCCCGUUCGGGGAGAGCGAGAAAACUCGGUGUAAGUGAAUUCGAAAUCUCCGAGACUCUUGGGAGGCGCACUGCCGGACUGCUCGAGGCAAACCGGGGUAAGGGAUAAACCCGGGUAUCCCGUAACAGAUUUACCUGGAGUUGCUGCUGGCCCUACCAUAGUCCUCGGAGUCGUCUACUAACCAGAUCACGCUCGAACGGAGCUUGUCAGUACGCUAACUUACUCUGAUGCAUGACAAGUUCUUAUUGAAGAACGCUAGUCGCCG